UAACAAGGUCUCCGUUGGUGAACCAGCGGAGGGAUCAUUACAGAGUUACUACUCCAAAACCCAUUGUGAACCUUACCUAUGUUCUGUUGCCUCGGCGGCGUGGUCAGCGCCCCCUCUGAAAAGAGGACGAUGCCCUCCCGCCGGCAGCACCAAACUCUUGAAUUUUACAGCGGAUUACAGUUCUGAUUUGAAAAGAAAAAACAAGUUAAAACUUUCAACAACGGAUCUCUUGGUUCUGGCAUCGAUGAAGAACGCAGCGAAAUGCGAUAAGUAAUGUGAAUUGCAGAAUUCAGUGAAUCAUCGAAUCUUUGAACGCACAUUGCGCCCGGCAGUAAUCUGCCGGGCAUGCCUGUCCGAGCGUCAUUUCAACCCUCGAACCUCCGUUUCCUCAGGGAAGCUCAGGGUCGGUGUUGGGGCGCUACGGCGAGUCUUCGCGACCCUCCGUAGGCCCUGAAAUACAGUGGCGGUCCCGCCGCGGUUGCCUUCUGCGUAGUAAGUCUCUUUUGCAAGCUCGCAUUGGGUCCCGGCGGAGGCCUGCCGUCAAACCACCUAUAACUCCAGAUGGUUUGACCUCGGAUCAGGUAGGGUUACCCGCUGAACUUAAGCAUAUCAAUAA
rnacentral:misc_RNA from 1 species